UAAAAGACUAAUUAAUACUACAGAAAAAGUCUGGUAAACCCCCCAAAGCCAACUCUUGUUUUUCCUCUGCAUUUCUUUCCCUUUUAUUUGAAGAAUGAAAUUUAGAGUAGCCAAAAUUGACAAUUACAUCUCCACCCCACCAAUACCAUGCAAUUGAAACCUCUCAACACCUUCACCGUUACGCUCAUGUUGUUCUUCACUUUCUUGAUCCUCUUCUUUUCUGGUUUCCUUGAAUUCCCUUCUGUUUCCUCCUCUAUCCAACAACCCUUUACCACUCCAUCUCUCACCCUUUCUUCCAACCCUAACCCUUUUACUGAUCUGCUCUCUGCUUUCAAGACAUGGGAUUCUCAAAUGGGUUGUUCCCAGUUCAAGCUAAAACACCACGAUUUGAUCCGUUUGCUUUCUAACAGCUCUGGGUCUUUGCAGGAACCUGUUUCUCAUUCUUCCUGCAAUCUGUUGAAAAUGGAGCAUGUUAGUGUUUUGGUAAAAGGAUGGACUUGGAUUCCUGAUAAUUUAGAUAAUCUGUAUUCUUGUCAAUGUGGGAUGAGUUGCUUAUGGACUAAAUCUCCCGUUCUUGCUGAUAAACCGGAUGCCCUUUUGUUUGAGACCGCUACCCCUCCACUUCAGAGGCACAGUGGAGAUCCACUUCGUGUGUACAUGGACCUUGAGGCUGGCAGAAGGCGUUCAGGUCGAGAGGAUCUAUUCAUCAGUUACCAUGCAAAAGAUGAUGUUCAGUCAACCUAUGCUGGUGCUCUCUUUCAUAAUGGUCGAAAUUAUCACAUAUCUUCAUAUAAGAACAAUGAGACACUUGUUUAUUGGUCUUCAUCACGCUGCCUUUCUCAAAGAAAUCAGCUUGCUAAGAGUUUCCUCAGGUUGCUGCCGCACCACUCCUUUGGCAAAUGUCUGAACAAUGUUGGUGGUUUAGACAUGGCCCUUUCCUUCUACCCUGAGUGUACCAAUGAUGCUAAUACCCCGAAGUGGUGGGACCAUUUACAUUGUGCCAUGUCUCAUUACAAAUUUGUCCUUGCAAUUGAAAAUACAGUUACGGAGAGCUACGUGACCGAGAAGCUAUUUUAUGCUUUGGACUCUGGUGCGGUUCCUAUUUAUUUUGGAGCUCCCAAUGUGCUGGACUUUGUCCCUCCUCAUUCAAUUAUAGAUGGAACUAAGUUUAGGUCCAUGGAGGAAUUGGCUUCUUACGUGAAAGCCCUUGCUAAUGAUCCUGUAGCUUAUGCUGAGUACCAUGCCUGGAGAAGAUGUGGUGUAUUAGGUAACUAUGCUAAGGCCCGUGCAACAAGCCUUGACACAUUACCAUGCCGAUUGUGUGAGGCAGUUAGUAAGAAAGGUGGGAGAAAUGCAAGAACGGAAUGAAUUGUUUAUUGUUUUAUGCUUCAGGUUGGUCUCCUGGUAUUUUGCAAACCAUAUAUAGUGAAUCAUCAAAUUUAUGUUUGAUCUAAUUGAAUUUUAUGCAAAAUGACCAAUGGGAUCUGUUGUAGGUUUGUACUUGGCUCUUUUGCAUUCAUAUUUACAAGAUGGAGAUAUGAGGCCAUUAUUCCACUGCAAGUUGAAGGCUUAGACUUUUGGAGCUUGGAUUUUUGCUUUUGUUUAGGCUUGUUGUUGCUGUUGUGGAUCUUCACACUUUUGAGUUCUUGAGGUCUGUUUUCAAGUUUCCUUUAGUUUAUGACUAGAAGAAACCUGUCGGGACCAUUAUUAUUUGACAGUGAGAUUGAAAGUACAGCUCGCAAAAAUCAUAGAGAAGUAAGGCAGAGUCGACAGUGUAUAGUAGAUGAGCAAGAGGAAGCUAUUAUUAUUACUGAGGAGAUGAGUGAUAAUCAGAAUAAUCAACUACCUCCUACAGUUGUUGCAAAUCCAGAUCCUAUUCCUCGUACUAAGUACGAUUAUGCCAAACCCACUCUAACUGGGGCUGAAUCGAGUAUUGUGAGACCCAUUAUUGCUGUAAAUAAUUUUAAACUGAAGCUGAACACUAUUCAAAUGGUACAACAAUUUGUUCAGUUCGAUGGUUUGUAAGACGAAGAUCCAAAUACUCAUUUGGCUAAUUUUCUAUAAGUAUGUGAUACUUUAAAGAUAAA